rnacentral:antisense_RNA from 1 species
AACAUCGUUUCAGAGCGUGCUUGCACAGCUUCUGAAAUACUCGAAAAACCCGCCUUUUGGCGGGUUUUUUCGU